rnacentral:rRNA from 1 species
AGUGAACGCUGGCGGUAGGCCUAACACAUGCAAGUCGAACGGCAGCACAGUAAGAGCUUGCUCUUACGGGUGGCGAGUGGCGGACGGGUGAGGAAUACAUCGGAAUCUACUUUUUCGUGGGGGAUAACGUAGGGAAACUUACGCUAAUACCGCAUACGACCUACGGGUGAAAGCAGGGGAUCUUCGGACCUUGCGCGAUUGAAUGAGCCGAUGUCGGAUUAGCUAGUUGGCGGGGUAAAGGCCCACCAAGGCGACGAUCCGAAGCUGGCCUGAGAGGAUGGAUCGCCACACGGGAACUGAGACACGGCCCAGACUCCUACGGGAGGCAGCAGUGGGGAAUAUUGCGCAAUGGGCGAAAGCCUGAUCCAGCAAUACCGCGUGAGUGAAGAAGGCCUUCUGGUGGUAAAGCGCUGUUGUUCGGAAAGAAAAGCAGCAGUUUAAUACGCCACGGUUCUGACGGUACCCAAAGAAUAAGCCCCGGCUAACUUCGUG